UACGAAGGGGGCGAGCGUUGUUCGGAUUUACUGGGCGUAAAGGGCGCGCAGGCGGUUCUGUUUGUCGAGUGUGAAAGCCCCGGGCUCAACCUGGGAACUGCGCUCGAAACGGCGGAACUAGAGUUCGGGAGAGGAGAGUGGAAUUCCCAGUGUAGAGGUGAAAUUCGUAGAUAUUGGGAAGAACGACCGGUGGCGAAGGCGGCUCUCUGGACCGAUACGUGACGCUGAGGCGCGAAAGCGUGGGGAGCAA
rnacentral:rRNA from 1 species